rnacentral:rRNA from 1 species
GGGGAAUUUUGGACAAUGGGGGCAACCCUGAUCCAGCCAUGCCGCGUGAGUGAAGAAGGCCUUCGGGUUGUAAAGCUCUUUCGGCCGGGAAGAAAUCGUGCAGGCUAAUACCCUGUAUGGAUGACGGUACCGGAAUAAGAAGCACCGGCUAACUACGUGCCAGCAGCCGCGGUAAUACGUAGGGUGCGAGCGUUACUCGGAAUCACUGGGCGUAAAGAGCACGUAGGCGGCCUUGCAAGUCAGAUGUGAAAUCCAACGGCUUAACCGUUGAACUGCAUUUGAAACUGCAAGGCUAGAGUAUGGGAGAGGUAGGUGGAAUUCUCGGUGUAGGGGUAAAAUCCGUAGAGAUCGAGAGGAAUACUCAUUGCGAAGGCGACCUGCUGGAACAUUACUGACGCUGAGGUGCGAAAGCGUGGGGAGCAAACA